UUGCUAUUGCCUUAGAACUUAAUAACGUUAUAAUCAAAGAGCUACAUCUGUUUGAUAGUCUUAGCCCAGGUUUCUCAGAAAACUUAAGUUUUCUACAUUAAAUUCAUAUCUUAACACUUUAUUUGGGGGUUCAAUCCCAGGGAAAUGGGCAUAAGGGGGACAGGGGCUGUAAGGCAGGGAAUGAGAGAAAGCAAACACAGGUGGUCAGGCGAUGUGUGUGCCGAGCUGACCGUAGCUCCAUCAGCGGUACAGCUGGUUGCUGAAUCACAAGACCUGUCCCUGGGGAGUUACAGCUUCUCUGAAUAGUUCUAUCCUAGGGAAGAAGGAGAAGCCAUUUAUCUGCUGGCUCCUUCCUGUCUCCCAUCUUCCAUUAUUCAACAUUUACCCCACAGACAAUCAUUUCCAUGUUUUGUUACUCAGCCUUUCCCGGAAGCCCUGGGGAAGUCAGAGCUCUCUGGGUGCAGUCAGCCAGUCUGAGAGCUGGGGCUGCUGUGGCUGUCACCGUGGUGCAUGCAACGAAGGCCACCCAACCCAAAGCCCAGCUCUGGUCCUGGCCCAGGGCAGGGGAAGACCAGUGGUAGUGUUAGGAGAGGAGGUGGUGGCAGUGGCCAGAGCUUUACAACUGCGGGAAGAUGGGGGAUGCUGGGGAGGCUGAGCGGAAAUUGAAGGGAGCAAAGCUAGGCCUGGUGCUCACGUUACUUUUGAAAUUUGUUGAUAUUACUUCUUGGACUAGUAUGUAGUCAAUUUUCACAAAAGUGCUUGAGAAGAAUGCUUUUUUGCUAAGUAUGGAUAGUAUAUGUCUAUUUAUCAGGCAUGUAAAUGGUAUUGUUUAAUCUUCCAUUCUUUACUAUUCACCUGCUCGACAUAUCAAUAAUU
rnacentral:lncRNA from 10 species